rnacentral:ncRNA from 1 species
AAUAAAAAGAAAAAUAAUCAGAUAUUAUUAUAAUCUUAAUUAUAAACUAUACUGACUAGGAAUUGAACAGAGUUCUUAUAAUGACCUGUUCAGCAUCUUAUAAGAAAUCAAAGUUUUUAAGU